rnacentral:rRNA from 1 species
ACCGUGCAAAGGUAGCAUAAUCACUUGUCCCCUAAAUAGUGACUAGUAUGAAUGGCCAAAUGAAGAUUUAACUGUCUCUUAUAGUCAAUCUAUGAAACUAAUCUUUCAGUACAAAAACUGAAAUAAAAACAUAAGACGAAAAGACCCUGUGGAACUUUAAGUAACAUCCACCCACUAUGGACUUUUAAUGCUUUUAGUUGGGGCAACUUUGGAAAAAAACAAAACUUCCAAUAUAAGACACAAAUUAACACAUUUAUGUCCCUAAUACAUGACCCAGUACCACUGAUUAAAGAACCAAGCUACCCCAGGGAUAACAGCGCCAUCCCCUCUUAGAGCCCAAAUCGACGAGUGGGGUUUACGACCUCGAUGUUGGAUCAGGGCCCCCCAACAGUGCAACAGCUGUUAACGGU